CGCAGAGUGACGGGAGGGUUUAUCGGCCCUCCCGGUAAUGCGGCAGCCCGGUUCGCAAGCCCGG
rnacentral:ribozyme from 1 species